UCUGAAUCUCCAAACAGGCUCCUGAACAUGGGACGGGGACGCCUUCCCGUGGCCCGGCAUUUCUGGAAGAAGGGGGUCCGAGAGGCUACUAAGUGGCUCCUAUCUGGUGUGGAGGGCCGGCUCUCAGUGCCCUCCGGCUCAUGCUGACACGCGCACUUUCAGUGACGAAGCCCACAGAGGACGCUUGGGUUUGUUGGGGACGGACGAGGUGUGGAUUGGGACGGCCUGUGAUCCCAAAUCCACUGCUUAGUGCGCGUGGACGGUCCCCUUUCUGCAGCGCCGUUUGGAACUCAGGUCAAACCGGUCUGUCGCGUGGCGCUUAGUCGGGUCCCAAGUGUCUGAUCACACUUAAACUCACGCUUUCCUCCAGAUGUUGGCACCUGGCUCCUGGCAUGUGCUCCCGUUCAAACAGAACCAGCGUCAACGCUGAUACCGGGGUGAUCGAGUUUGGACCUCUGUCCACCGCGUCCAUUCGGAGAGGCCACCAGCUGGGGAAGCUGGAGCUGGAAUCCUUCCAGGGGAAGAAAAGGGAAAACACACAAACUGUGGGAACAGACGAUUCAACCGGGACUCGUCACACAUUGAUGACGAGCCACUGAAAGAUUCCAGUUUAGGUUCAAACACAUGCAGAAUGACUCUGAUUCAUUACUGGUCCACACAGGCUGGUAACACCAGUUGGCCCAUCAGUUAACGAUCUACAGACAUGAACCAACUGGUGCUGCUGCAAUCGAGUGUGUCAUCAUUGUAUGACAGGUGAUUGUGUGAUGAUUUUGAAGUGUAAAACGCUGACUGUGACGUGUGAGUAGCUCCACACACCUCGACAUAAAAACGUUAACAAGCGUAUUAUGUGAACAAUGCACUGGAUAAUAUGUGAAAUACUAUCAUCCAUAUACAAGUACACCAUUACAUAACCACUAAAUAGAAUCGCUGACAAAAUGAAAAGGCUGACAUCAUUGACCCAGCAGCCGUAAACAACCGGGUCAUCACGUUCACAUUCACUGUCACCAUCAAUGAUGUACAAGUGCGUAAACAGGCCGAUAUGAAUGAACCGAACGGGCACGAGUGAAGCUCUGUGAACAAUAAUCCUCGAGCUCGGGUAACGACAUUGUUAACAUUGUUAUUGGAUUUUUUUUAAAGUAAUCUACUUGAAACGGAUGAUUCCAAACCACCUGCACAUCCUCAUUUAAAAGCACUCAGGCGGUCAUUAUCAGCAACAUCUGACAACUUAGCCAACAGCCCCCCCCCAUCAGAGGGAAAUCAAGAUGCAUGCUGGGUCGCACUGUAGAUAUUCACUUCAGUUGUGUCUAAUGCGAGCAGGUAUUUGAGGACGUGCAGGAGUGAAGCUGAGACGAGGGCUGCUUCACUCCACUGGGAACCGAGACGUGCACAAACGCCCGUUUUCUUUUGGAAUUAAAAGGUGUUUGUGAUGCAUGUAUGCACAAGCAUUGAUCCAACGGUGUCACAGUUUUAGUUUUGGUUUAUUAUAUAUGUUUGCAAAUUCUCCUGCUUCUUGUGUCCCGUGUUCACUUGUCUUCCUACCUUUGUAUAAUUUCCCACCUGUUAUUUACUAUGAUGAUCUGCUGCGUCCUGAUGGAAUUCUGUCUAAUUGGCCCUCUGUGCCCCUGUGAAUUUAAAUGGGAAUUUAAAUUCACAUGGGAAUUUAAGAGGGAAUUUGUUCCCUCAUGUGCAUCCUGUAUUUACCCCUCAUGCUUUCUUCUGAUGUACCUUUUUUUGUCAUUUUUUUCUGGAUUUUCUACUUUUUGGUCUGAAGUUUUUUGUUUCUUGAAAUGUUUUGCUCAUUAAAAUAUCUGUCAAUCACC